AUGCUCUUAUAUUAUGGGACAGAGGAAGUAACUCCACAACUCAGUAAUUCUGGUGUAAUACUUUCUACAAUUUGCUUCAACAUCAGCUUUUUUUAUACUGGAGGAAGAACAAUGCAUAUUGUGUGUAGACAUAACAGAUCGUCUUGCCAUAAGUUUUGUCUGUGUUUAAUCUGCUUCGCAGAUCAAGAGAUGUUACAUGUUAUAACCUCAGCCAGAUCUGUGUGUUUUUCUUUUGGAAAAAACUACCAGAUUAGGAAAUUCAAAUCCAAAAUUCUAGUUUUCUUUCUGGCGUCUGUAUAG
rnacentral:rRNA from 1 species